rnacentral:lncRNA from 1 species
AGCGGAGGCGCCGCCAGCUCCGCGCUCCGCCACUGCCCAGGCCGGCGGGCGGCACUCGGACCCGCCGCCCUCGGUCCCUCGCGAGGCCACGGAGGCCAACACGCCUCGCACGGGGGGACAGCGCGGGGGCAGCCGUCCAAACACCAGGCGUCCUCGGCUGGUCGUCCCAGGGCGCCCGCACCUCUCCGCCCGCGCUCUCCUGCCGCCGCGCCCCCAAGCCCCCAAACUCCGAGGCGCUGCGGCGGAGGGGCCGGGCUGAGCGCAGGCAGGGUGGCCCGGGCCCAGGAGCCUGACGGCCUGAGUGCGGAUUUCUCAUCUGAGUAUCUGGGAAUCGAGAAUGAAUUGGAAGGAAACCGAGGCGCUGCCCUGGCCAGGUUGCUGCCCCGCACCCUUCCGGAGCACCGAAGUCCUGCCCGGCAACGGGACUUGGAGCUGCCGCAGAGUCAGCCUGAGCCCGAGGCAGGGGUCGCGCCCGCGAUGCGGGGUCUCUGCGCCGCCCCGCGAGGCUCCUGGCCUUGCCCUCCCUGCCCUUUGUUGUGUAAUAAGACCUGUGGCGGCUCCACUGAGACCCACACGUGCAACUCCGCGCCUCCGCGUUAAAGGAGGUGAAACGCAGCAGCCCUGAGAAACCCCGAGACCCCGGUGUCCUAGCAGAGGCGCCCCGGAUGGGGAGGGGCGCGGGGCCGGCGCCACCCCAGAGGAAAAGCCCAGCGGAGCCGGGUUGGGCAGGAGCUGGCGGCGGCGGUGCGCUGGGCCUUCUGCCUUGGAUCCUCCGCGGUCGGCACCGCUUCCCUGCUCAGAUUCGAACCCAGAUUCGGCUCCCAAGGCUCCCACGGCUCCAGGGUGCCCAGUCUUGCAGCCAGCUCGCCGCCCGAGCCCCGGAUGGAGGAAGCGCUCACUGGCCGCUACCUCUGCUGUUUCUGGCACCAGAGAUUGAGACUGUGAACCUGAACUCCCUUGAUCUCCUCCCGUUGGGCCCAGGAGGGAGCCGAAUCCAGGCCCAACCGGGCUCACUGAGAAGAACCUUUAAAAAUCCGCCAACGAAUGCUGUUGCCUGGAUGCGCUGCCUAUGACCUUCAGCCGUGUGUUCACGCGCGCCCGCAGCCGUGGAGUGGCGGUCCCUCCUGCCGCCCGCAACCCCGGGGCCGCCGGUCUGCGCACACCGGGAGCAACUUCGUUACCCACAGCGCCCGCGUCCUGCGGCUCGCGCGGAACUGCGCGCGGGAAGGUGGCAGAGCGACGCUCCAGAACGCUGCUUGCGUAGACGCUGCCGCUGCCUUCAGAUCCCAAUUCGGCCGCGCGCGGGCGGGGCCCUGGCAGCAACGAAAAUGGCGAGCCUCGUAGCCUUCCGGGCCCGGCGGCCACAUUCCGGGAGUCGCCAGGUGGGAGCCCGCCUUCCGUGUCCCCAAACGCCCAGAGCCCGGGACACGGGCCGGCGGCCGGGUCACCAAGCCAGUUCCCGGAAUCGGCUCGCGCCGGAAUCCAGACUCGGCUUGCAAAGCCCGCUCCUGCCGUCUCUCCGCAGCGCGCCCUGCCCCCCACUGCCGGCCCUCUUAGCUUCAAAACCAAAUUUUGCCUUUCAUCCUGAGAGAUUAAUACCCCGCAGGUGAAACCGUGGAGACGGAGCUGCGGUGGGUUUCUUUUCCACGCCUCAGUUUCCUCGUCUGUGAAAUGGGACCAGGCGCGCCUGUGCUUCUCCGGGAGUUUAUUGCAGGGCUGGCUGGAGAGAAUGGCUGGGUGGAAGCUGCCAGGAGGAGGCCCAAGGCCGCCCACCCCGUGGGCCUCGUUUGCUGAGCGGGGGUCAGAGGCGUGCGGGACAGGGCGCGCCCCACGGCGGCUCUGGAGGCGGCCCGGCCCGUCCCUGUCUCCUCCCCUCGCUCCCCCUCCCCCGGCCUUCCCGGAACUCUCCUCGCCCGCUGGGUGGAGGAGGGGCGAGGGCCGACUCCGCCGCCCCUGGGGUCUCCCUCCUCCCACCCCCACCGCAGAGUCUGGCCCGCCCUGGGCUUUCCUCUCAGGUCCCUUUGGGUCUCCAGAAGCCCGGAGGUUUCGCGCAGACUCGAACCUGAGAUGACACCACCCAGCACCCCAAAUCCUGCAGAGUGUGGAGGGGAUCUGGGGAGAAGGCAGGGGCUGCCCGGGCGCUCUGGCUGCUGGGGGUGGGGGACAGGGCCUGCCGGGGAAGCGGGUCGGGGGAGGACUGGAGACCCAGGCUCCCCUAGGUACAACGAACCUCGCGGGAGGGAAUACGCCAUCCCCGUACCCACUUCCGAGGACGUAGGUCUUUUGGCACCGGCGGCAGCCGCGUUCCCACACAUCUGGGCGGGGCCCCGCAGCAUGGCCUGGGGAGCUGAGGCUUCGGGAUCCGGCACAAACUACCAUUCUAGGUGUAGACGGAGGAGGUGGGGUGUGGGAAGCAGGGGGCCAUGGUCUGAGCAGACCUUCUCACCUCUGGGCCUCCCACCUCCUGGGGCAGGACUUACGGGGAAGGACCCGAGGGGAGUGGGGUGUCCAUAGGGACACCCAAGGGUCUAUCCCUGCGAGCUUUGCUUUCUACUAAACCAAUAAUCGCAGUGGUGGUGGCAGUCGAGACACGGCUCAAAGAGCCGGCAAGAAUAGAGCAGAGACCAGGAUCGCCCCAGGCAGGGAAAAAAUGACCAGUUCUGUAGAGUGACCCGAAGGUGAUGGAAUCACUCGGGCGUCCUCCUGGGAAAGAGCUGCCUGCUCCCCCGCCGCCGCCAGUACACCGGCGCCCAUGCCCCGGGGGCUGGAGAGAGCAGCCAGGCACAGGUAACUCAAGAACUCCAGUCCCCUCACGGGUGCCGUGCUGUGGGGCGCCCUCACCCCCACACUUUGGGUCCCUGGGCCUCCUCAUCAAAGCAGGGGCCUGAGUGGCAGGAACACCCCUGUGUGCAGAAUAGUGCCCCCUGCAGCCCCCACAGGUCACCUCUUUGAGGACCUAGGUGGGGCCUGCCCUGGGGACUGGGGUGAAGAGGGCAGGUCCAGCCUUCAGCAGCCCCUCCCCCAUGACUUCAGUGGAAUUACAAGGGGAACACCCAGGGCAGCUCCCGUAGGCUGCACAAGGGAAGAGGGGAGGGCUUCUACUGAGGUGAAACAGUGACCCACCCCUCCCACACCGUCAGCCUCCCUCCCCUCUCCACCCUUCAGUGCUGGGACCCCAGGGCCCAUAGACAGCUGGGGGAGUGGGGAGACAGGAGGAACUCAAGCUCAGCUUCUGCCUCCUGUCUCCUGGGACCCUCGGGCAGCCCCUCCAGCUUCCUGGGAGUCCAAUUUCCCAAGGUAGAACGGUGGCGGCAGAGCCUGGCCCUGUGGUGGGGCAGCUGCACCCCGAUGAGUGGCUUGCAGUUCCUGGAGCCCUGCAGGUUGUUGGAGAGGCAGGGAGCCCUUCUCCCUCCUGCCUGCCCUCUUGCACUUCCUCUCCCAGAACCCAGCACUACUCCCAGAGGCUCUGAGCUGGAGCCCUAGAAGGUAACCACCUCCUGGCUGGACACAGGGCAAGUUGGGGCCAGGCGUGAGGACAGGUGCCCCAGGAGCCACCUGCUCCACUCAUCCACAAAGGCCUUAACUGGCUCAGGGGCCCCUAGCUCCCAGUCAAGCCCUGCCCUCCUGACCUUGUCCUGCCCUGGUGCUGCCAGUCGGGUGGAGAUGUCUAGGGGCCAGCUGGUCUCCUGGCAACUGAAGUCCGCGCUUCCCUUCCGUUCACUCAUUCCUUCCUUUCCUCAUGCAGGAGGCGCUGCAAGGCUCCGUGCUCCUGGAGCUUCGAGUCUAUGGUAUGAGUUAAACAGAAGGGUAUCUCCUCCAUCAGAUCUACAGGAGGGUGUCUGCUCCAUCAGACCUGGAGCUUCCAAGGCAUUUUACCCGAAGCUCCAGCACCUGGCCCAAGGCUGGGCUGUGCUGUGUCCUCAGUGAAAGAAUGGAUGAGUCACAGCUGAAUGACUGAAGAGCUGAACCAAUGGGAAAACUGAUGCUCAGAGGCUUGAGCAACCUAGGCCAGGACCUGUCCUUAGAGGCAGAAGCAGGACUCAGAGGAAGAGCACCCUGACCACAAAGCCCCAGGGUCCAGAAAGACUCAGCCACUGGAGUCUGUAUUUCCUGAGUCGCCUCUCACUGCUGGAGCUGUUUAUCAUCGCUCCAACUUUCACUAAAAAGGAAAAACUAUCACUUAAACAAAGCCAUUGAAACCCCAGCAUCAUGUGUGGAUUUUUUAACAUAAAUAAAUCAUACAAACUA